UUGUUAGAAUUGCUUUAGCUAAGCAUGGAUAUUACUACCCAUAUGCUUCUCUCCCUCUCUCUCUCUCUCUGUGUGUACAUGGCAGGGGGGUGUAAGUGCACUCAUCUGUUGCUUGUAUUGUAUGCUCUGACCGUUGGAUAUUUGUCAAAUUUACUUUUUGUAGCCAUAAUGAAAACUGUCUAAUAUAUAUGCAAGAGUAGAAUUUGUCUGACUUGUACAUAUAUAUUAUUUUUAUGUAGUUUGUGCUUAGAGCAUCUUUUCCCAGGAAUGUGAGAGGUUUAAGAUUUCGUAUGGCUUACUCUGGGAACCUAUUGAAUAGGCUAAUGCACAAGAUGUCUCCUGAUGCAGUCUCUAGAUGACCAUUGAGAACCAUUCCAUGAAUAAUCUCGAGGAUGAUUCUGUCAUCAUUGAAUUGCAGCAGAUGUGGACUUUCUUUGUUUAAUAUCCCAAUGUUUUAACUUACACAUGUGAAGGACUAAGUUUUAUAACUAAGUUUUAUUACUAUGAUUGCUAUCAGGUGCAGCUCUCAAUGAUAUGCAUGCUAUACUAUGUCAGCCUAUAAUUGUAAACAUUUACAUUGGCCCACAUUCAUUAGGAGUUAUGUUUUAGUGGUUAUACUAGUACUGCAUUUUCAGAGCAGUGUCUUUAGCAUACUAUUUCAUUUUGACAGUACUAAAGGCUCUGUAUCGCUAUAUCAUAUUAAUAUUUCUGUAGCGUGUACAUACAUAUAUGCAUGCACAUGUGAAUUUAUCAUCUCAU